rnacentral:tmRNA from 1 species
UCACUUCAAAUUCAUGAAUUGCACGCUAUAUCAGUCCUGUCAGCUUGUCUGACUAUGGCGAUAAAUUGCUGCGUGCAAUAGGUACAACGGACCCGGGGGCAGUACCCGGCGGCUCCACCAUAAGACCCUGUAUUUGGGGUGUUUUGACGGGGCCGAACUAGGAUCGACGUGGACUGAAAAGCGUAGUUUUUGCCCGGGCUGAAAACCCCGUAAAACUGUUCACAACUCAUAAGUGCAAACGAUAACGAAGCACUCGCAAUCGCUGCGUAACCUGACGGCCUAACGGCCUGAUCUUACAAAGCCUAUGCGCGGUUGGACCCACCGGGCAACAGAAGUGGAUUCCG